rfam:Corynebacterium mustelae strain DSM 45274, complete genome.
UAGGUUUUAGCUCAGUUGGUAGAGCGCUUCUAGCUAAGAAGCAGGUCAGCGGUUCGAUUCCGUUAAACCUAA